rnacentral:lncRNA from 1 species
UACAAUACAACGUUUUGAGCUCUCUUCUCUUGUCUGCUCUCGAGUAAAAGCUUUGAUUCUUCUAGCUCUCUCUCGCCUCCUGUUUUCUUACAAUUCGCGUCGGGUUCUCCUUUGGCGGGCGCCCUCGCCUUCCUUCUCAAUCUUGUUGCCAGCCGCAUCGUCCUCUGCCUUGUCCUUGGAAUCGUCCGGGCUGGAGAUGUCUUCCUUCUUGGACUUCUCUACAGUCACCUGUUGCCAGCCGCAUCGUCCUCUGCCUGAUCCUUGGAAUCGUCCGGGCUGGAGAUGUCUUCCUUCUUGGACUUCUCUACAGUCACCUGCGCAAGACAAACAACCAUGACAAUCCAAAACUCGCGCAACGGUAUUGGCUAAUUGUACCUUCGUCUUCUUGGGGGGCGAUUUCUUGCCACCAAAAAGAAUCUUAAACAGCGUGACCGAAAAGAAAGUUAGAAUACGAGACAAAGUCCAUGUUCAUGUGUUUUACUUACAAGAAUCUUUUCCUUCUGUGACGCCAAAGCCGGGAUGUCGGCAACCUUGCGCAGGUACUCAAACAUCUUUGC